rnacentral:tRNA from 1 species
GGGCCCGUGGCGCAGAAUGGACAGCGCGGCGGCCUUCGGAGCCGUAGGUCGUGGGUUCAAGUCCCACCGGGCCCG